GAUGAACGCUGGCGGCGUGCCUAAUACAUGCAAGUCGAGCGAACGGACGAGAAGCUUGCUUCUCUGAUGUUAGCGGCGGACGGGUGAGUAACACGUGGAUAACCUACCUAUAAGACUGGGAUAACUUCGGGAAACCGGCGCUAAUACCGGAUAAUAUUUUGAACCGCAUGGUUCAAAAGUGAAAGACGGUCUUGCUGUCACUUAUAGAUGGAUCCGCGCUGCAUUAGCUAGUUGGUAAGGUAACGGCUUACCAAGGCAACGAUGCAUAGCCGACCUGAGAGGGUGAUCGGCCACACGGGAACUGAGACACGGUCCAGACUCCUACGGGAGGCAGCAGUAGGGAAUCUUCCGCAAUGGGCGAAAGCCUGACGGAGCAACGCCGCGUGAGUGAUGAAGGUCUUCGGAUCGUAAAACUCUGUUAUUAGGGAAGAACAUAUGUGUAAGUAACUGUGCACAUCUUGACGGUACCUAAUCAGAAAGCCACGGCUAACUACGUG
rnacentral:rRNA from 1 species